GAUGGAGGAAAGCGUGAUGGAUGUGAUGAUCGAAGCUAACGUGGACCAUGCAUUUAUUGUGUCACUGCUUGUGAUUGUAGAUGAAAUAAAGCAUAACAAAUUCCAUAAAGUUGUGAAAGGCGUAGCGAAGGUCACAAUGGCGACUGCGAAGGUCGCAAUGGUGGUUGCCAUGGCUGGAAUCAACUGCCCAUGAACAUCCUAAACAAGUUUUACCCUCGAUCUUAGAGAUUUAAUGAGAACCUUACAUAAGUAGACCAACGUCUUGUUGAUGAUAUACCUUACACUUGUUUAGUGAUAAGUGAAGAAAUUUG
rnacentral:lncRNA from 1 species